CACGUAGGGUGCGAGCGUUGUCCGGAAUUAUUGGGCGUAAAGAGCUCGUAGGCGGCUUGUCGCGUCGACUGUGAAAACCCGCGGCUCAACUGCGGGCCUGCAGCCGAUACGGGCAGGCUAGAGUUCGGUAGGGGAGACUGGAAUUCCUGGUGUAGCGGUGGAAUGCGCAGAUAUCAGGAGGAACACCGAGUGGCGAAGGCAGGUCUCUGGGCAUUAACUGACGCUGAGGAGCGAAAGCCAUGGGGGAGCGAACAGG
rnacentral:rRNA from 1 species